GCACUAUGAUGAGACUUAUCACAGACCUGUUCUGAGUACUAUGAGGACAGUUAAUGUCUCUGAGUCUU